rnacentral:tRNA from 1 species
GCCUUCGUGGUGUAAAGGUAGCACACUCGGCGCGUAUUCGAGAGGUCCAGGUUCGAAUCCCGGCGAGGACA